rnacentral:rRNA from 1 species
AGAGUUUGAUCCUGGCUCAGGAUGAACGCUAGCGGCAGGCUUAAUACAUGCAAGUCGAGGGGCAGCACAGGUAGCAAUACUGGGUGGCGACCGGCAAACGGGUGCGGAACACGUACGCACCUUCCUUUAAGCGGUGAAUAGCCCAGGGAAACUUGGAUUAAUACACCAUAAGACAGUGGAGUGGCAUCACUCAGCUGUUA